rnacentral:rRNA from 1 species
CAAUAGCGUAUAUUAAAGUCGUUGCAGUUAAAAAGCUCGUAGUUGGAUUUCUGGUUGAAGCGACCGGUCGGGCGUUGAUUCGUCUGCACUGGAGUCGGUUUUGGCCAUCCUCUAGGAAAGUGCGUCUGGUAUUAAGUUAUCGGGCGUAUGAUCCUGGUCUUUUACUGUGAAAAAAUUAGAGUGUUUAAAGCAGGCCUUCGCCUUGAAUACAUUAGCAUGGAAUAAUAAGAUAGGACUUUGGUCUAUUUUGUUGGUUUGCAGACCGAAGUAAUGAUUAAUAGGGAUAGUUGGGGGUAUUUAUAUUCCGAUGUCAGAGGUGAAAUUCUUAGAUUUUCGGAAGAUAAACUUAUGCGAAAGCAUUUACCAAGGAUGUUUNCAUUA